AGUGGGGAUGGCGAACACCACCCUGUCCUGGUGCUGGUGAGCAUUGCUGGGCUGGUGGGCUUGGGCGCACACGGGUGUUGCUAAAACCAUAGUGGCUUUAGUGACUGAGGAAGAGGAUGCAGGACUGAUGCAGCUGGAGGACAGGGGAGAGAAGGAGCCAGGUUUCAGGGAUAGGAUGAGGAAGGGAGGAUCGUGCUGUGAAGCUAUCUGUAAAAAGAAAAAGUUGGACUCUCCAACUUAGCUGAAUUUAAUUUUUAAACAGACUUACUAGUUUUCAUUGACUUAGAAGGAAAUGCUUCAGCUUCAGCAUCCAUGUCUCUAUAAAAAUGAAACGAACUUUUUUUCUUAAAAAGUUGUUUUUUCUAGAGAAGUAUCUUGAAACCUCAAUACGUGGCAAGGUGGGACCAUUUUUGUGGCCUGGGGAGAUGUAAAAAUCCUUCUGUGCGCCUGUAAUUCAUGCAUCAAACACAUCCAGUUCAAAGAAUCCCUCAGAGAACUUGCCCUCCCUGGUACGUCGGCAAGACCUUCCUCAUGGAAAGGCCUUGUAGAAAUAAUUUUUCAUGAGCUGCCUGCAGACACCCCAGCAGGGACCUGAGCCUCCCAGUGCCGCUCACUGGUGCCUUGCUGGACGUAUCUGCCCUGCAGGAUACAGUGAGUGCCGCAGGGGAGUUUCCUCAGCCCUACUGCCUAAGGCUUCUGCCUGGUCUCACGCUGCAGGGGACACAAUUGCCGUGCUGGGGGUGUGAGGGGGAGCCCCGGCCUGCAGGAGGCUGGAGUCAGGGUGUGCUCAGAGCCAGCCCGAUCUUCCCUCGCGUAUGGAGAUUUCCAAUGCCGCAGCUAGAUCCCCGCGGAGACCAGCCUGCUGCAGAGGGGAGAAGUGCUUGUCCCUCCCCUGCGCUGCCGGCUGCAGGGCUCCCCACGGCUGCCCCCAGGAGCUGCCAGGUAGGAUGCCCCUCGACGUGGCCCAGGGAACACGAGGCACCUGUGUUCAGGAAAAUAUUUCAAGGGAUGCGUCAAGCAUUUAAAACGCUGGCUGUGUGUUGCUCUGUUGGCUGCCCCGUCUGUGAGCGUGCAGGACAAAAACAUUAAAAGGCUGCUGAAGUCCCAGCUAGAAACACUGGAAAGGAAGAUAAAGGACAUCCAACCAAAUACAUAAGGAAAGGGUGCAGAUCCUGAAACAUCACCACUGCUAAGGCAGUCUGAAGGGAGGAGGGACCAGUCCCGAGUCUCACCCAAAGACAAAGUUGAGACUUUCUGAUGGUGAACUGGUAAAAACAAGUCCCUUUCUGUAUGCUGGGCUACAGCACAGGACGUGUGGGCUGUAUGUAAGCUUCUGUUUUUUCUUGGGGUGCUCGUCUACCUCUUGCACAGAGAACACGCUUUAUGGCAAGACGCACCGAACUCCAGCUGGCUGCAGAUGUGCCAGCUUGGGCGCAGGACCCAGGGCUGCCAGGGUAAGCACACAGCUCUCCGUGGGCUAAUUUACCGGCUGGUGCUGGAGGUGCCCCGGGUACCUCGGCGCCGCGCUGCUCUCUGCCUGUGUGCACGGAGCAUGGGGGUACUGCCAUGCUGGGCAGGCCUCGGGGGGCCCCCAGCACCCAGUCCCUGUCCCCUCGCCAGCACAGACCAGGAUUCCUGAUGCCGUUGCUAAGCCUCUGCUUCCUUCCCAGUUCCUAACCAAGCUUCAAAAAUAUCCUCGAGUGGGUGAAGCUAUACUGGAGAAUGUCUUUAUGGGAAUAGUCUAACAUUAGCCCCGAAGAGGGGACAGCCUCACCAUUUCAGGCUCUUCCUCCCUCAUGCUUUUAUACGCCGCUUCCUUCUAGCUCCUUUCCUAUUCCUAUCGUAUGUUUUUCUUACGCUGUUGGGUUUUUCCAUCAUUGAGACUCCUUGGCACACACAGCCUUAAAGCGUGGUCCCAGCCGUCACUGUUUUGCAAGCUUUUGUUUCAGCUUUCAGCUCAGUAAUACUUGUUUGCCCUUUUUUGUCUGAGGAUCCGAUUCUGCAUUGUAUCAAAGCAGUGUUACAGAGCCCACAGGGGAAUGGAAAAUUUCAGGCUCCCUUCUGAAAGGGGGGAAAAAAAAAAAAAUAAUGGGAGUCACACCGAAGCAGGUGUUCAAACUACAGUAGAGGUGGCAGAAUUGGGAAUGAGACCUGCUUAACCCUCUGUUGCUGAUGGUUUCUUGUCUGGGACCAUCCCCUGAGAUGGGUGACUGGGGCUGUGGGGUGUUCAGAGGGGGGCUCGCCUCGGGGUC